AUUGAACGCUGGCGGCAUGCUUUACACAUGCAAGUCGAACGGCAACAGGCCGCAAGGUGCUGACGGGUGGCGAACGGGUGAGUAAUGCAUCGGAACGUGCCCAGUCGUGGGGGAUAACGCAGCGAAAGCUGUGCUAAUACCGCAUACGAUCUAUGGAUGAAAGCGGGGGACCGUAAGGCCUCGCGCGAUUGGAGCGGCCGAUGUCAGAUUAGGUAGUUGGUGGGGUAAAGGCUCACCAAGCCAACGAUCUGUAGCUGGUCUGAGAGGACGACCAGCCACACUGGGACUGAGACACGGCCCAGACUCCUACGGGAGGCAGCAGUGGGGAAUUUUGGACAAUGGGCGCAAGCCUGAUCCAGCAAUGCCGCGUGCAGGAAGAAGGCCUUCGGGUUGUAAACUGCUUUUGUACGGAACGAAAAGGUUUGGGUUAAUACCCUGGGCCGAUGACGGUACCGUAAGAAUAAGCACCGGCUAACUACGUGCCAGCCGCCGCAGUAACAC
rnacentral:rRNA from 1 species